ensembl:lncRNA
CAGCCCAUAUAUGGGUUCAUUUGAAAGUUUAGAGUGUUUUCUUUACAAAGAAUACCAUUAAUUGGGGUUUUAUGAUUCAUAAAGUAGUAAAAUUAAGCUAAGAAAUAUAUUUCCCCCCCACACAAAUUUCCGUCUAACGAUUAGGAAUAUUUUUUCAUAAGAAUGUGUAUUUAAAAUAUUUUUCACAAAACAGUCAAGUCAUAUAUCACAAGAAAGCUCUCAUUCUCAGGAAUCUGACGAUGUAGAUCAUUUUAUUGUGUGACAAUCACAGAUCGAAUGAUCUUCAACAGAAUCGCGAUGUAAAAUUUCUCACCUCAUUGCAAAUUAUUAUUUAUCCAUCUUAGCACCGCUUCAGUCACCCGCAAACAGCCACACAUACCUAUAUACUCGAUAUAAUCUUUUAGAUUAGAAUCUCUUCUUUCAAACAAGACCAUUUUUACGUUUCUGCGUGCUUCCAUUGGUGAGAUAUAAAGCGUUAUGUCCAGACGCGCUCAAAGAGAAAGACGCAGUUCUUUGAGACAGAAGCGCUCUUCAUGUCAUAAGACAAGCCUAAGCGGCUUUCUUCUGAUAUAUCGAUCGGAUCUCUUUUGUGAACCACUAUUUGUCCCUUCAGCUGUCAGUCUGAGCUGUGUGCUCCACUCAGAGCUGCUGAAUUUGACACCUCUGCGUCAACAGCGGGGGGAUGGAGUGGACAGUGAUGACCACAUCCUCCUCAGCCGGUGAAGCACUGGCUGAUGGGAUACUGAGUCCUCAAGUGUCCGUAAACAAAGAUCACACGCGGAAUAACUCGCGUCGCGGUGAUUAUCAAAUGUAUAAUAAUCAUACUACAAGUUAUGGAUGACCACCGUCGCCGUGGAGAGGACAGGACGCGCAUCUGGUCGUGUACAAGCUUCGGGCAGCGGAUAAGCGCUGAUAAUGCGUCAAAACAACAGAAGGGACGCUGGAAUAUGAAAUAUUACAGAUGAUUGAGACAGCUGACAUGUGCUGGAAACAAAUACAAUUGUUUGCAGGAUGCUGGACCUCUCAG